GCGGGAGUAGCUCAGGGGUAGAGCGUCUCCUUGCCAAGGAGAAGGUCGUGGGUUCAAAUCCCAUCUCCCGCUCCA
rnacentral:tRNA from 1 species